AUUGAACGCUGGCGGCAGGCCUAAAACAUGCAAGUCGAGCGGCGCGGCGGACGGGUGAGUAAUACCUAAGAAUCUGCCUGGUAGAGGGGGAUAAAGCUCGGAAACGGACGCUACUACCGCAUACUUUACGAUGGGCCUAGGUCGGAUUGGCUAGUUGGUGAGGUAAUGGCUAACCAAGGCUACGAUCCGUGACUGGUCUGAGAGGAUGAGCAGUCACACUGGAACUGAGACACGUUCCAGAAUCCUACGCGCAGCAGCAGUGGGGAAUAUUAGACAGUGGGCGAAAGCCUGGUCCAGCCAUGCCGCGUGUGGGAAGAAGGGCUUCAGAUUGUAAAGCACUGUAAGGUGUGAGGCGUUACCGACAGAAGAAGCACCGGCUAACUCUGUUCCAGCAGCCGCGGUAAUUC
rnacentral:rRNA from 1 species